UACGGGGGGAGCAAGCGUUGUUCGGAUUUACUGGGCGUAAAGGGCGCGUAGGCGGUCGUGACAAGUCACUUGUGAAAUCUCCGGGCUUAACUCGGAACGGUCAAGUGAUACUGUCGGACUAGAGUACAGAAGGGGCAACUGGAAUUCUCGGUGUAGCGGUGAAAUGCGUAGAUAUCGAGAGGAACACCUGCGGCGAAGGCGGGUUGCUGGGCUGAUACUGACGCUGAGGCGCGAAAGCCAGGGGAGCGAACCGG
rnacentral:rRNA from 1 species